rnacentral:rRNA from 1 species
UCGCCUGUUUAUCAAAAACAUUUCUAAAUAAAUUAUAUUUAGUAAAAUCUGCUCAAUGAUCAUUUCAAUAGCCGCAAUUAUUUUGUGCUAAGGUAGCAUAAUCAUUUGUCUUUUAAUUUAAGACUAGAACGAAAGAUAUCACAUUUAAAUUUCUAUUUAAAAUUUAAUUUUUAAAAUUAUUUUAAAUAUAAAAAAAUAUUUAUUCAUAAAAUAGACGACAAGACCCUAUUGAACUUAACUUUUGUUUAACUGGGGUAGUUAAUUAAAUAUUAUUUUAAUAAAUAUACUUUCAAAAAUGAUCUAGUAAAACUAUUCUUAUGACCAAGUUACCAUAGGGAUAACAGCGUAAUUUCUUUAAAAAGAUCUCAUUCAAAAAAAAGAUUACGACCUCGAUGUUGAAUUAAUUUCUCUUUUCGGUGCAAUAACUCACAAAGUAAGUCUGUUCGACUUUUAAUAAAUUACAUGAUCUGAGUUCAAACCGGA